GCAGGUGUCCAAGGUGCGUCGUUUCAGAGCUAUGCUGGAAACAGCAUAGCAAGUUGAAAUAAGGCUAGUCCGUUAUCAACUUGAAAAAGUGGCACCGAGUCGGUGCUUUUUUU
rnacentral:sRNA from 1 species